GGGCCUGUAGCUCAGUCGGUUAGAGCGCUUCUCUGAUAAGGAAGAGGUCCCUGGUUCGAGUCCAGGCAGGCCCA
rnacentral:tRNA from 1 species